rnacentral:rRNA from 1 species
CUCUUUAUGAAAAAUGUAAAGUCUGGCCUGCCCACUGAUAAAUUAGUUUAAAGGGCCGCGGUAUACUGACCGUGCGAAGGUAGCAUAAUCAAUAGUCUUUUAAUUGGAGGCUUGAAUGAACGGUCGGACAUGAAGAGAACUGUCUCAUCCAGUAUUUAUGAAUUUAACUUUUAUGUGAAAAGGCAUGAAUGAUUUAGGGGGACGAUAAGACCCUAUAAAACUUAAUAUUUGGUGAUUGGUCUCUCGAUUUAAAAUUAAAGGGGGUUUAAUUUAUAAAUAUUAUGUUGGGGCGACAGGGAUAUAAAUAGUAACUGUCUUUAAAUUUAAAAUAGUAAUAAUUAGAGAGCGACCCUUGAUUUCGAGGUUAUAAGUUUAAGUUACUUUAGGGAUAACAGCGUUAUUUCUCUUGAGAGUUCAUAUCGACAGAGACAGUUGCGACCUCGAUGUUGAAUUAAAGUUUCCUGUAGGAGUAGAAGUUUAUGGGGUAGGUCUGUUCGACCUUUAAUAACUUUACAUGAUUUGAGUUCAAACCGGUGUGAG